CAUUCGACUUUCGACAUUGAAUGUGGUCCUUCAAAAGCUCGCUCUAAAACUACGGAGGACCACAAGAUCAUCGUAUCGACGGAGCAAGAGUAAGACUGACAUAGACAAGAUGAAGGGAAAUACAGAAGGCGUGUAGAGACCUUAUUACCAACCAGCUGGUCAAGCCAUGACAGAGGCAUCGAUGAUAGCAGUUUUGUGUUUUGUCCUUCCUUUCAUUCACGUUCAAACUGAUGUGCAGUCUGGAACAUGUAGAUAUAGAUGUGGGUCUGUAGUACAGUCCGAUUGUUACUGCGAUGACUUGUGCUGGCUUUAUAAAGACUGUUGUCCAGACUUUUACCAGGAGUGUCGUGGCGUAGCUCUCUAUCCCCAGCCUGUGACACUUAAGAAUUUGUUUACAUAUUGGAGAACUUCGAUUUUAAUUCAAUCGUCCCAAUGCACAAGAACUAUGAACGGAGACUAUUGGGUGGUUUCCAAAUGUAGCUUGAACCCAGAGAUACAACUGAAAUUCAAAGAAUCACUCUAUAACAUCAAACAAAUGAAAACAAAGGAUUCUUUUUUAAAUUACGUCUCAAGUUUUACUUUGCAGGAUGUCGUGAAAGGUUGUGAAAAAUUGUUGACAUUCAAAGAUCGCCAAACUGGCAUAUUUAUCCAUUUUCUUUUCAGCAAUUUUCAAAUGGAAAAACAUUUCACUUUUGCCAACGUGUUUUGUGCUUUCUGUAAUGGUUUUAUUUUAACACCUAAUGAUAAGAAUCUCAAG